GCCCAGCCGUAAACAAUUAAAUUACACCUAAAAUCGCCAGGGAACUACGAGCAAAGCUUAAAACCCAAAGGAUUUGACGGUGUCCCAUCCACCUAGAGGAGCCUGUCCUAUAAUCGAUAAUCCCCGUUAUACCUCACCAUUUCUUGCUUCCCAGUCUGUAUACCGCCGUCGAAAGCUCACCCUGUGAAAGAUUAGAGUCAGCUAAAUGGCCCUUCGCCAACACGUCAGGUCAAGGUGCAACUAACGAAAUGGGAAGAGAUGGGCUACAAUUUCUAACAUAGAACAUACGGAAUAUCAGGUGAAACCCCUGGCAUGAAGGAGGAUUUAGUAGUAAAAAGAAAAUAGAGUGUUCUUUUUAACCCGGCCCUGGGACGCGUACACACCGCCCGUCACCCCCCUCGAUAGCAUAUUAACAAGUAUAUAACAAGCCAUCCGCGCCUU
rnacentral:rRNA from 1 species